rnacentral:rRNA from 1 species
UACAGAGACUGCAAGCGUUAUUCGGAUUCACUGGGCGUAAAGGGUGCGCAGGCGGCCAAGUGUGUCAGGUGUGAAAUCCCGAGGCUCAACCUCGGAACUGCGCCUGAAACUACUUGGCUAGAGUACUGGAGAGGGUAACGGAAUUCACGGUGUAGCAGUGAAAUGCGUAGAUAUCGUGAGGAACACCAGAGGCGAAGGCGGUUACCUGGACAGUUACUGACGCUCAGGCACGAAAGCGUGGGGAGCAAACGGG